CACGUAGGGGGCAAGCGUUGUCCGGAUUUAUUGGGCGUAAAGAGCUCGUAGGCGGUUCGGUAAGUCAGGUGUGAAACCUCCAGGCUCAACCUGGAGACGCCACCUGAUACUGCUGUGACUCGAGUCCGGUAGGGGAGCGUGGAAUUCCUGGUGUAGCGGUGAAAUGCGCAGAUAUCAGGAGGAACACCAAUAGCGAAGGCAGCUCGCUGGGACGGUACUGACGCUAAGGCGCGAAAGCGUGGGGAGCGAACAGG
rnacentral:rRNA from 1 species